GACGAACGCUGGCGGCGUGCUUAACACAUGCAAGUCGAACGGAUAGGCUCUGCUUUUGGUGGCUGACCGAGUGGUGAACGGGGGGGUAACACGCGAGUAACCUGCCUUUGAGCUUGGGAUAACUGCUGGUACCUGGGGCUAAUACCGGAUAGAAGCUCUUUCUGCUUGGGGUGGGUCGGAGAUUUUCGGCGUAUGGGGAUGGAAUCGCGGCUACUCAGCCUGGUGGUGGGGUCGUGGCUUACCAAAUCAUUGGCGCGUAGCCGGCCUGAGAGGGUGACCGGCCACAUUGGAACGGAGAUACGACACAGACUACUACGGGAGGCGGCAGUGGAGAAUAUAGCACAAGGCAAGGAAGCCUGAUGCAGCCAAGCCGCGUGCGGGAUGACGGCAUGCGGGUAGUAAACCGAUUUCGCCUGUGACGAAGCGUGAGUGACGGUAAUGGGUAAAGAAGCACCGGCUAACUACGUG
rnacentral:rRNA from 1 species